AUGGUAGGAUAGAGGCCUACCAUGGUGGUAACGGGUAACGGGGUGUUAGGGCACGACACCGGAGAGGGAGCCUGAGAAACGGCUACCACAUCCAAGGAUGGCAGCAGGCGCGCAAAUUACCCAAUCCCGACACGGGGAGGUAGUGACAAUAAAUAACAAUACGGGGUUCUUUAGGAUCUCGUAAUUGGAAUGAGUACAAUUUAAAUCUCUUAACGAGGAACAAUUGGAGGGCAAGUCUGGUGCCAGCAGCCGCGGUAAUUCCAGCUCCAAUAGCGUAUAUUAAAGUUGUUGCAGUUAAAAAGCUCGUAGUUGAAUUUCGGGGUCAGUAGGUCGGUCGUGCCACUGGUAUGAACUGGUUUUACUGAUUCCUCCCUCUUGAAGAACUGUAAUGCCAUUAAUUUGGUGUUGCAGGGAAUCAGGACUGUUACUUUGAAAAAAUUAGAGUGUUUAAAGCAGGCUUUAGCUUGAAUACAUUAGCAUGGGAUAAUGAAAUAGGACGUUUGAUCCUAUUUUGUUGGUUUCUAGGAUUGACGUAAUGAUUAAUAGGGAUAGUUGGGGGCAUUAGUAUUCAAUUGUCAGAGGUGAAAUUCUUGGAUUUAUUGAAGACUAACUACUGCGAAAGCAUUUGCCAAGGAUGUUUUCAUUAAUCAAGAACGAAAGUUAGGGGAUCGAAGACGAUCAGAUACCGUCGUAGUCUUAACCAUAAACUAUGCCGACUAGGGAUCGGAUGAUGUUAAUUUUUUAAUGACUCAUUCGGCGCCUUACGGGAAACCAAAGUGUUUGGG
rnacentral:rRNA from 1 species